rnacentral:sRNA from 1 species
UACGUCUUGGCAUUGUUUGCCCCCCCC